UUUGUAGAAAUGGGAAGUUGUCCUCUUUUUGCUGAAGGCCAUUAAAUGACGCCUGGAGCAUUCAAGGUAGUACAUUCCAGAUCUGAAUCGCUUGUGUGAAAAUAUUAGGAAUGUGAUGGAAAACUCCCCACUUGGCUAGAUGAGUACAGCUCCAGCAAUACCCAAGAAACAUGACACUAUCCAGGGCAAAGAUUGCACCACACAUCUACAGGCAUCCACUCUCUCCACUGCUGACGCUCAGUAGCAGCAACAUUGUGUGCCAUCUACAAGAUACAUUGUGGAAAUUCAUCAAGGCUCAUUAGCAUCUUCCAAUCCCAUGAUUACUUCCAUCUUGGAGGAUAAAGGCGGCGCAUACAUGAGAACACUACCGCCUGCAGGCUCCUCUCCAAGCUGCUCACCAUCCUGACUUUAGAAAUAUAUUGCCAUUCCUUCAGUGUUGUUGGAUCAAAAUCCUGUAAUUCUUUCCCUAAUAGAGUGUAGCGUUUCAAGAAGACAGCUCACCACCUUCUCAAGGACAGCUAGGGAUGGGUGUAAAUUCCUCACCCAGCCAGCAACUCUUACAUCGCGAGAGUGAACAAAAUAAAAAACAAAGUUUUUAA